UAUGACAAGAAAAUACAAGCUUUUUUCAACUGUAUACUGUAAACCUCUGAAUAUAAUGCUCACCUCAUUCCAAAUAUAAGCCCCCCCCCAAAAAAAAAACAUAAGUCCCCUGAAUAUAACAAGCCCAGUAGCCCACUAUGUUACUCAACAUUGACAUUGUCUUUUAAUAUAGCAGAGAACGAUAUUUAAAAACAUUGUCAUUGUCUUUAUAGCUUACUAUGUUAAUCAAAGUGUGUUAUUAAUACAUGUUUAUUUUCCUGUUUAUGACUGACUAGCUUGUUUAGUACUAACACAAAAGAUCGUCCAUGUAUAAGGCUCCUGUAUAUAAGUCCCCCUCCCUUGUAU